UCGCAUGAAGGGGUAGUAAAUAUGCAUUCGUACAGGGUAGCCGUAAAAAAAUUGCUUCACUGAGAAGAUAGUGGCGGAGGAGGGGUAACACGUGGGUAACCUGCCCAUAAGAGGGGGAUAAUAUCCGGAAACGGGUGCUAAUACCGCAUAGUUUUCUUGAUCGCAUGAUCGAGAAAGGAAAGACGGCCUUUGUGCUGUCGCUUAUGGAUGGACCCGCGGCGUAUUAGUUAGUUGGUGAGGUAAUGGCUCACCAAGACGAUGAUACGUAGCCGACCUGAGAGGGUGAUCGGCCACAUUGGGACUGAGACACGGCCCAAACUCCUACGGGAGGCAGCAGUAGGGAAUCUUCCGCAAUGGACGAAAGUCUGACGGAGCAACGCCGCGUGAGUGAAGAAGGUUUUCGGAUCGUAAAACUCUGUUGUCAGAGAAGAACAAGUCGGAGAGUAACUGCUCCGGCCUUGACGGUAUCUGACCAGAAAGCCACGGCUAACUACGUGCCAGCAGCCGCGGUAAUACGUAGGUGGCAAGCGUUGUCCGGAUUUAUUGGGCGUAAAGCGAGCGCAGGCGGUUCCUUAAGUCUGAUGUGAAAGCCCACGGCUCAACCGUGGAAGGUCAUUGGAAACUGGGGAACUUGAGUGCAGAAGAGGAGAGUGGAAUUCCAUGUGUAGCGGUGAAAAUGCGUAUAUAUAUGGGAGGAACACCAGUGGUCGAAGGCGACCU
rnacentral:rRNA from 1 species